CCUGAGUACGACGGAGCACGUGAAAUUCCGUCGGAAUCUGGGAGGACCAUCUCCUAAGGCUAAAUACUCUCUAGUGACCGAUAGUGAACCAGUACCGUGAGGGAAAGGUGAAAAGUACCCCGGAAGGGGAGUGAAAGAGAACUUGAAACCGUGUGCUUACAAGUAGUCAGAGCCCGUUAAUGGGUGAUGGCGUGCCUUUUGUAGAAUGAACCGGCGAGUUACGAUCUGAUGCAAGGUUAAGCAGAAAAUGUGGAGCCGUAGCGAAAGCGAGUCUGAAUAGGGCGAAUGAGUAUUUGGUCGUAGACCCGAAACCAGGUGAUCUACCCUUGGUCAGGUUGAAGUUCAGGUAACACUGAAUGGAGGACCGAACCGACUUACGUUGAAAAGUGAGCGGAUGAACUGAGGGUAGCGGAGAAAUUCCAAUCGAACUUGGAGAUAGCUGGUUCUCUCCGAAAUAGCUUUAGGGCUAGCCUCAAGUGAUGAUUAUUGGAGGUAGAGCACUGUUUGGACGAGGGGCCCCUCUCGGGUUACCGAAUUCAGACAAACUCCGAAUGCCAAAUAAUUUAACUUGGGAGUCAGAAUGUGGGUGAUAAGGUCCAUAUUCGAAAGGGAAACAGCCCAGACCACCAGCUAAGGUCCCAAAAUAUAUGUUAAGUGGAAAAGGAUGUGGCGUUGCCCAGACAACUAGGAUGUUGGCUUAGAAGCAGCCAUCAUUUAAAGAGUGCGUAAUAGCUCACUAGUCGAGUGACACUGCGCCGAAAAUGUACCGGGGCUAAACAUAUUACCGAAGCUGUGGAUUGUCCUUUGGACAAUGGUAGGAGAGCGUUCUAAGGGCGUUGAAGCAUGAUCGCAAGGACAUGUGGAGCGCUUAGAAGUGAGAAUGCCGGUGUGAGUAGCGAAAGACGGGUGAGAAUCCCGUCCACCGAUUGACUAAGGUUUCCAGAGGAAGGCUCGUCCGCUCUGGGUUAGUCGGGUCCUAAGCUGAGGCCGACAGGCGUAGGCGAUGGAUAACAGGUUGAUAUUCCUGUACCACCAUUAUUCGUUUUAAGCGAUGGGGGGACGCAGUAGGAUAGGCGAAGCGUGCUGUUGGAGUGCACGUCCAAGCAGUGAGAUUGAGU
rnacentral:rRNA from 1 species